rnacentral:rRNA from 1 species
GACGGGGGAUGCGAGCGUUAUCCGGAAUGAUUGGGCGUAAAGGGUCCGCAGGUGGCCCGGUCAGUCCGCCGUCAAAGCCUGGGGCUCAACCCUGGAGAGGCGGCGGAGACCACCGGGCUUGAGUCCGGUAGGGGCAGAGGGAAUUCCCGGUGGAGCGGUGAAAUGCGUAGAGAUCGGGAAGAACGCCAAGGGCGAAGGCACUCUGCUAGGCCUGAUUUCGCGACUGACACUCAGGGACGAGAGCCAGGGGAGCGAAUGGG